AGAGUUUGAUCAUGGCUCAGGAUGAACGCUGGCGGCGUGCCUAAUACAUGCAAGUCGAGCGGAAAGGCUCCUACUCUGUGUUUAAUACAUUGAACAUAGGGUUGGAGUACUCGAGCGGCGGACGGCUGAGUAACGCGUAGGAACGUACCCCAAAGUGAGGGAUAAGCACCAGAAAUGGUGUCUAAUACCGCAUGUGGUCUUCGGAUUAAAGCUUCGGCGCUUUGGGAGCGGCCUGCGUAUGAUUAGCUUGUUGGUGAGGUAAUAGCUCACCAAGGCGACGAUCAUUAGCUGGUCUGAGAGGAUGAUCAGCCAGACUGGGACUGAGAACGGCCCAGACUCCUACGGGAGGCAGCAGUAGGGAAUUUUCCACAAUGGGCGAAAGCCUGAUGGAGCAACGCCGCGUGCAGGAUGAAUGCCUUCGGGUUGUAAACUGCUUUUAUCUGUGACGAUUAUGACGGUAGCAGAUGAAUAAGGAUCGGCUAACUCCGUGCCAGCAGCCGCGGUCAUACGGAGGAUCCAAGCGUUAUCCGGAAUUACUGGGCGUAAAGAGUUGCGUAGGUGGCAUUGCAAGUCGGUAGUGAAAGCGUCUCGCUCAACGAGAUAUACAUUAUCGAAACUGCAAAGCUAGAGGACGAGAGAGGUUAUUGGAAUUCCUAGUGUAGGGGUAAAAUCCGUUGAUAUUAGGAGGAACACCGAUGGCGUAGGCAGAUAACUGGCUCGUUCCUGACACUCAGGCACGAAAGCGUGGGGAGCAAACAGGAUUAGAUACCCUAGUAGUCC
rnacentral:rRNA from 1 species